CGGGCGCGGCCUCUGCAAGAGAGAGGGUGGGUGACAACGUUGAUAGAGGUGUGGACAGAGCAGUUGUGGGGAGAGGUGAGUAUGUAGAUUGUGCUGCAGGAAGUCCCGUUGUGUGGGAGGACCAAUCAAACCUGCAGUAGAACCUGUUUAGCUGGUUAGCAAGCCUUGGGCUCUCCACGGGGUUCGUUUCUUGAAGCCUGUGAUGCUCUGCAGACCUUUCCACACUGUUGAGGGAUCAGGAAUGGCAGGAGGUGUCUCUUCAGGUUCUCCCCGUAACACCUCCUGGCUUUCCUGACCUCUCGGUUCAGUGUGUUUCUGGUCUGCUAGAACAGGUCGCGGUCGCCGCUCCUGUAGGCCUCCUCCUUGACUUUGCGCAGCCUCCUGAAGUUCGGUGUAAACCAAGGUUUGUCGUUGUUGUACGUGCAGAAGGUCUUAGUCUGCACACACAGAUCCUCACAAAAACAGAUGUAUGAUGUGACAGUGUCAGUGAGUUCAUGCAGGUCUGAAGUUGCAGCUUCGAAAACUCCCCAAUCGGUGCAGUCAAAGCAGGCUUGGAGGUCCUGCCUUGACUCCACUGUCCACUUUCUCACAGUCCUCACCACAGGCAUAGAAGUUUGAGUUUCUGUCUGUAGGCCAGGAUCAGAUGAACUAGACAGUGGUCCGAGAGUCUUAAAGCUGCACGAGCCACAGAGUGGUAUGCAUCCUUAGCGCACAGGACGCUACGCAGAAGAGGGGAGAGAGUUCAGGAUCCUAACAGCCUGGAGUAUGAAGCUGUUGGUGAGUAUGGUGGUGCGGGAGCGCAGGCUCCUGUACCUCUUCCCAGAGGGCAGAAGAUCAAACAAAGAGUGAGCGGGGCGACUCACAUCACUCACAAUCGUGGUCGCCUCGCGGGUGAGAUGGGAGGUGCAAAUGUCCUUCAGGGAGGGGAGUAAGCACCAAUAAUCUUACCAGCCGUGUUCACUAUGCGCUGCAGAGCCUUCAUGUUGUAUUCAGUGCAGCUACCACCCCAAACAGCGAUACAACUGGAGAGGACGCUCUCAAUGGUGCCACGGUAGAAUGUAGUCAUGACGGCCGGAGGAGCACUAGCCUACCACGCAUAUUUUUUCGGAAGUGGGAGAAAACCGGAGUGCCCGGAGAAAACCCACGCGGGCACGGGACAAACAUGCAAACUUCACAUAGGGAGGAAUCGAACCCGCAUCCUCUGAACUGUGAUGCAGACGUGCUAACCAGUGCCCCACCGAGCCGCCAAGUCCUCAUCUUCUAUAUUCAAGUUAAACAGUUGGGCAAGUUCUCCGUUACAUACCAAGUUCCCUCUCGUCUUUGUCUCGUCAUUGUCACAUUGCUCUUCAGCAAUGUUCCCCGCCUUUCCAGAAAGCUUGAAUUGCGCCUGGUAAGCAUGUCUCUUAGAAAGUGCUAAUGCUUUUUGCUUUGCAUAAACCGAUAGUAUUUAUUUAUCAAUGGCGGCGUAGGUACAUACUCUACGUAUUAUGUACUGUUCUCGGAUUGAUUUAUGUAAGUUUACGUACAACGUAAUGUCCUCUGAUUGGUUCAUUGCGUGUACAUAUACAUAUUACGUCUCUACAGAUUGUGGAAUUGGUCCACACAAAAGGCGCACCUUAUUGAAAGGCGUACCUUCGGUAUUUGAGAAAAUGAAAGGCUUUUAAGUGUGCCUCAUGGUGCGGAAAAUACGGUACAUUAGAGUGACACUGUUAGGAUGUGGAAAUGUCUGACCACUUCAAAUAAUUCUAACUUAUUAACAUGUUAAUUAUUUGAAGAAAAUAUUAUAAUAUAAAUUAUAAUAUAAAUAAAAUGAUAUAUGACAUCAUUCAACUAAACUUCAUGGGUUCAUACAUUUCAAUUCUGAUUCAAAGUAUUUGUUCUUUCCUUUUAAUUGUAAUUAAUCAAAGGAAGUGCUUAAAAGUUGUGCUCUUGUCCCUGUGCUUGAUUUCUUAGAUUUGCUGCUACUGUGAUUCCAGCUUUCCAAACACCUACCUUAAUUUGCUGCUACUGUGAUUCCAGCUUUCCAAACACCUACCUUAUCGCCAUGGCAGAAAUGAGCGUCGAGGGGUGGUGCCGCCACAUUUUGCAUAUUGGCUCAAAAGUCUUGGGAUUCAGGCAGAUGUGUUUUGCAAAACGAAGACGAGCCUUUAUGGGUUUUUUUGGCCAGCAUACUGGAGUCCCAAAGGUUUCAGAAUGACUUUGCAGCACAUUCCAAAACAAUAGAUGUCACUUAUUUUAUUUCUCAGCUGUUCUUGAAUUUCUUUAGAACAGGGCAUUUUGUUUCAACUUUUGAGAUGUUUUGGGCCGAAUAUAUAUUUUGUCAAAUAGAUUCUGUCAGGGUUUUCCAAACUAUCUUGAUCUAUGAUUAUGUUGGAAUGUAUGUAACCAGUAAUAGAUAACCUAGCUUGUUCCAUCCUACACAAUGUCGUAAAACAUCCCCUGCUCUGCUAAUCUAGAGGUCAAGGGCUUUUUAACUUGUCUAUUCAGUCUACUAUCACCCCCACCCUUUUUCUCUUAAUAAAGAUGCUCUUGUGGGAAGCGAGAGUCAGACUUCAUUCGACCAUCGCUGUAAGCACAGCGACGAGUGAACUCUCCACCUGCAGGUGUCUAAAACGACUAACUUGUCUCCGAGUGGUUCUUGCAAAAUAAGUUAGAGUCAAAACCACUCUAACAUUUUGGUGCCGAAACCCGGGACCCUCAUACCCGCCAUCUGACUGACGGAGGAAGACGUGCUGCAUUGUCGACAAGCCAGCGUCCAUUAGGAAGACCUGGAAAAGAAAGUCCUGGGAAGAGAACUUCUUCGCUGGGCCAGCAUCUUAGGUCUGCCUUCGUCUGACAGAGGUGGUUUGACGGGACCCCGGAAAUGCAACGAACCAGGAGACACGUAAGUUAAAAAAAAAAAAAUAAUAAUAAUAAUAAUUUUUUUUUUAAAAA